rnacentral:rRNA from 1 species
CGGACGGGUGAGUAAUGUCUGGGGAAACUGCCUGAUGGAGGGGGAUAACUACUGGAAACGGUAGCUAAUACCGCAUAACGUCGCAAGACCAAAGAGGGGACCUUCGGGCCUCUUGCCAUCGGAUGUGCCCAGAUGGGAUUAGCUAGUAGGUGGGGUAACGGCUCACCUAGGCGACGAUCCCUAGCUGGUCUGAGAGGAUGACCAGCCACACUGGAACUGAGACACGGUCCAG